rnacentral:rRNA from 1 species
UUNGCUGGGGGCAAGUCUGGUGCCAGCAGCCGCGGUAAUUCCAGCUCCAAUAGCGUACAUUAAAGUUGUUGCAGUUAAAAAGCUCGUAGUUGAAUUUCGGGGUUCUUCCGUUGGUCAGGCUAACAAGUCUGUACUAGCGUGUAGAAUCUCUACCUUCUGGGGAACCAUCAUGUUAUUAAUUUAGCGUGGUGGGAAACCAGGACCUUUACCUUGAAAAAAUUAGAGUGUUCAAAGCAGGCUUACGUCUGAAUACAUUAGCAUGGAAUAAUAAAAUAGGACGGUGGUCCUGUUUUGUUGGUUUCUGAAUCACCGUAAUGAUUAAUAGGGAUAGUUGGGGGCAUUAGUAUUCAGUUGUCAGAGGUGAAAUUCUUGGAUUUAUUGAAGACUAACUUCUGCGAAAGCAUUUGCCAAGGAUGUUUUCAUUAAUCAAGAACGAAAGUUAGGGGAUCGAAGACGAUCAGAUACCGUCGUAGUCUUAACCAUAAACUAUGCCGACUAGGGAUCGGACGAUGUUAA